GCUCCGUUCGCCCCCGGCUGCCCGACGCGCGCGGGGCUUCGGCCCUCCGAUGGGGGGCGCCUCGCCGCCUGCCGUCCGCUGCGCGGCGUCCCGGGAGUGGAAGCGGCCUGGCAGGCUGACUCAGGGAAAGGCGAGCGGCGCUUGGGACACUCGGCCGGCGGAAGUGGAGAAGUGGAACGCGCGUCUGGAGACCUCUACCCCACCCCUGCUCCGGCGCUGGGGGGCUGUCCCGGGUCCCCUACCCCGGCGCCCCCCGGGAUCGCAGUCUGGGUCGGGGGUCGGGGAGGGGCAUACUCCCCACUCCCGCCCUCCCCGCCGCCCGCCUUUGAUUACGGCUAGCAGCGAAUCGCCGAGCAAA